rnacentral:rRNA from 1 species
UACAGAGGGUGCAAGCGUUAAUCGGAAUUACUGGGCGUAAAGCGAGCGUAGUCGGUUAUUUAAGUUGGAUGUGAAAUCCCCGGGCUCAACCUGGGAAUUGCAUUCGAUACUGGAUAGCUAGAGUUCGGCAGAGGGAAGCGGAAUUUCUGGUGUAGCGGUGAAAUGCGUAGAUAUCAGAAGGAACAUCAGUGGCGAAAGCGGCUUCCUGGACCAGAACUGACGAUCAGGCUCGAAAGCGUGGGGAGCAAACAGG